UUUUGUAAUCUUCCACAGCUUUCUUGAACUGCAUGGUAAUCUAUUUAGAUAAAAUUUUAAGCUUGUUCUUCAAGUACAUGGUGGUAUAUUGAUCGCCUUUGCGGUUCAAUAAAGCUGUGGGAAACUACAGAUA